GCUUGUCUCAAAGAUUAAGCCAUGCAUGUCUAAGUAUAAGCGACUAUACUGUGAAACUGCGAAUGGCUCAUUAAAUCAGUUAUGGUUUAUUUGAUGGUACCUACUACUUGGAUAACCGUAGUAAUUCUAGAGCUAAUACAUGCAGGAAGACCCGACUCACGAAGGGUUGUAUUUAUUAGAUAAGAAACCUUCCCCUUUGGGUUGCGUGCCGAGUCACAAUAACUGCUCGAAUCGCAUGGCUUCACGCCGGCGAUGGUUCAUUCAAAUUUCUGCCCUAUCAGCUUUCGAUGGUAGGAUCGAGGCCUACCAUGGCGUUUACGGGUAACGGAGAAUUAGGGUUCGAUUCCGGAGAGGGAGCCUGAGAGAUGGCUACCACAUCCAAGGAAGGCAGCAGG
rnacentral:rRNA from 1 species